UAAUACCCCAUAGAUAUUCAAUGCUGGAAGGCUUGGAUAUCGAAAGCGCAAGCGCCAGAGGGUGAGUCUGCGGCCUAUCAGGUAGUAGGUGGUGUAACGGACCACCUAGCCUAAGACGGGUACGGGCCUUGAGAGAGGGAGCCCGGAGAUGGGUUCUGAGACACGAACCCAGGCCCUACGGGGCGCAGCAGGCGCGAAACCUUCGCACUGCGCGAAAGCGCGACGAGGGGAGCCCGAGUGCCUCUCCAUUUCGGGGAGGCUUUUCACAAGCCUAAAAAGCUUGUGGAAUAAGGGCUGGGCAAGACGGGUGCCAGCCGCCGCGGUAAUACCCGCAGCUCGAGUGGUGGUCGCUUUUAUUGAGCCUAAAACGUUCGUAGUCGGCCUUGUAAAUCCCUGGGUAAAUCGGACCGCUUAACGGUUCGAAUUCCGGGGAGACUGCAAGGCUAGGGACCGGGCGAGGUCAGAGGUACUUUCGGGGUAGGAGUGAAAUCCUGUAAUCCCGAAGGGACCACCUGUGGCGAAAGCGUCUGACUUGAACGGCUCCGACGAUGAGGAACGAAGGCUAGGGGAGCAAACCGGAUUAGAUACCCGGGUAGUCCUAGCUGUAAACUCUGCCCGCUUGGUGUGGCCUGUCCUUCGGGGGCAGGCUGUGCCGGAGCGAAGGUGUUAAGCGGGCUGCUUGGGGAGUACGGCCGCAAGGUUGAAACUUAAAGGAAUUGGCGGGGGAGACACCGCAACGGGAGGAUGCGUGCGGU
rnacentral:rRNA from 1 species